rnacentral:rRNA from 1 species
AUUGAACGCUGGCGGAAUGCUUUACACAUGCAAGUCGAACGGCAGCACGGACUUCGGUCUGGUGGCGAGUGGCGAACGGGUGAGUAAUAUAUCGGAACGUGCCCAGUCGUGGGGGAUAACGUAGUGAAAAUUACGCUAAUACCGCAUACGAUCUACGGAUGAAAGCGGGGGAUCGCAAGACCCCGCGCGAUUGGCGCGGCCGAUAUAAGAUUAGGUAGUUGGGGAGGUAAAGGCUCACCAAGCCAACGAUCUGUAGCUGGUCUGAGAGGACGACCAGCCACACUGGGACUGAGACACGGCCCAGACUCCUACGGGAGGCAGCAGUGGGGAAUUUUGGACAAUGGACGCAAGUCUGAUCCAGCCAUUCCGCGUGCAGGACGAAGGCCUUCGGGUUGUAAACUGCUUUUGUACAGAACGAAAAGGUUUCUAUUAAUACUAGGGGCUCAUGACGGUACUGUAAGAAUAAGCACCGGCUAACUACGUGCCAGCCGCCGCCGUAA